GACGUGAGCUGACCCGCAAAGGCCUCGACGCUGGAGCCGACACGAUCGUCUGGCAUCUCGCACAUCACCAUCGGAUCACGGUCUCACGGGCGACCGUGUAUCGGAUCAUCAAACGCGCUGAUCUCGUCACACCAGCACCCAAGAAGAAGCCGAAGUCGUCCUACAUCCGCUUCGUCGCCGAGCAACCCAACGAAACCUGGCAGUCCGACUUCACCCACUGGCGCCUCGCCAACGGCAACGACGUCGAGAUCUUGUGCUGGCUCGAUGACCACUCCCGCUACGCCCUGUCGAUCACUGCCCACCAACCCGUCACCGGACCAAUCGUGGUGGCCGCCUUCCUGGCCGCCGUCGAACGAUAUGGGACACCGUUCUCAACCUUGACCGACAACGGUUUGGUGUACACCGCCCGCUUCGCCAGAGGCGGCCACACCUCCCGCAACAGCUUCGAAACCCAACUCGUCCGACUCCGCGUCCGACAGAAGAACUCACGCCCCAACCACCCCACCACCUGCGGCAAAGUCGAACGACUCCACGACACCCUCAAACGCUGGCUACGCGCACAACCCGCAGCCACCACAAUCACCGAGCUCCAACACCAGCUCGACGACUUCGCCGACGAAUACAACCAUCGCCGGCCACACCGCUCACUCCCACACCGCUCAACCCCCGCCGUCGCCUACACCACCCGCCCCAAAGCCGCACCCGAUCACCACCCCGACAGCGAGUUCCGAGUCCGCUACGACCGCGUCGACAAAGCCGGCAAAGUCACCCUCCGACACAACAGCCAACUCCACCACAUCGGCAUCGGACGCCCCCUCGCCGGCACCCCGAUCGUGAUGCUCAUCCACGACCUCAACAUCCGCAUCAUCCACGCCGCCACCGGCGAAAUCAUCCG
rnacentral:misc_RNA from 1 species